AGGUGAAUAAUUUUAGAUUGACCCAAAAACUAAACGAGCAAAAUAAUAAGGCAUGUUAUUCUGCCAGGAGAAAAAACAAUGGAGAAGAAAUCUGCUAGAAGAAGAUUUUGAUAAGGAAACCUGUGACGACCCCACCUUCUCCUAGGGCAUACCCUAGAAGUUAGUGAAUCGCCUGCCUGGCACUCGCUAGGACUCACUCACUCCCAUUAACUUCAGAGAUAACAUUACCAUUGGACAACUGAACAUUCACUCUUAAGUACCACUCCAAUCAGCUUGAAACAUAGAUUUGUCCACUAAAAGAAACAAAAUACACGUUCUAAACAUCCAUUCUUAAUAUUACAUUAACUCAAAAAAAAGAUUCAACCAUCUUAAAAUACGAAAGAAAACGUGACUCCAAUAUAUACACAUAGUGAUGGGAUUUCCCAAAACAACUUUCCAAUUCCAUCCAAUCACUUUUCAAUCUCCAACUCCUGUAAGGAAAACAAAGCUAAAAGGGUGAGCUUACGCCCGUGAGGUUUCCAUGCAGGUAACAUUUAGAAUCACAUGAAUCAAUACAAAUAAACAAGUAGUGCACAUUUCACUGUACAAUCACUUUCAUUAGCAAUUGAGGAAACACUUCACUGAACAAUCACUUUUAAAAGGAUACGGUGCUCGCAUUAGAGCCACUUCAAUGCACUACACACUCCGCCGAACUUCUCCGUAUAACCUCCAAAACAAUAAACAGUUCCCUCACUUGGAUGGCCAUAUCAAUAUCAAUAAUCUGCUACUCCGUGGUAAUACUCGAGCAUACCAAAACACUUACUCAAAGCUACCGUCCUACCCGACCAAGCCCUUUGCUGGCUCGAAUAGUCCAUUGAACAGAGGGUUUUGGGGCCCAGUUCAGCCGGCGUGAUAAAGUACACACACGGCUUACAGUCAUGCACACUUACAAUAUCACUUGAUCAAUUAUCAAUCUUCAAGCUCAACUAAGCCAAGUGCGAUAAAGUACACCCUCGACUUAGAAGGCGAGGGACAAUUGAGAUACACUUCCAAUGAAUCACUUAGCAAUAUUUCAUAAUAAGCACAUUUGCCAUAUAAUUGCACUUAGGUACACAUAAGCAGUUUAACACAUAAAUUCGGAAAACACUCACCAAUUAUCCAAGUAAAUUACUCUUGAGCCUCGGGUUUGUUUCUUGGCUCACAGCUACAUCCUGGACAAGUUAAUAAUUCCAAAUCAACUACAUAGUUUGUAGAUGUUCACUUAUUGUUCUUACUUUAUCACUUGGACUAUUAAAAUCAAGUUUGACUUUAAAGUAUAAAAUAUAACAUAUUCAAUGUUCAUGUAUCAUUUUAUUUUGAAACUUAUUGACUUUAUUGUUUUAAUCAAGAAUUAUACCUGUUUUCCCAAGUUAAUAAUUCAUAAGAUAUUUAUUUUAGGAUUUAAAUCAUUUUCCACUCAAGAUUCCAAAAUUAAGGUUUAGAAGUAUUCCCUUGGUUCCUUUUUAAUUAAUUAGACUCUAAGUUAUUUGGAAAUUAAGUUUUAUUCCACUAUACCAGUCCCUCAAUUUAAUAGCCUUUAAAAAUAUUCGUGAAAACAAUAUUAAAUAAUUAGAAGCCACUUUACGUAUAUAACUAUCGUGACUUUUCACUCAAUUGCCUUAGUCUAACUCUACUCGUGGAACUAGGUAUAGCGAUUAAAUCUCAACACAAUGGUAGCUAUCAUUUAUGAAAGCUUACAAGAUUGGAAAUUAGAAGAAAUGUUAGUUAAAAGUUGAUUUCCUCAUGGCCAUUAUCAAAGCUGCAUGCAUGCGAAACAAAAGGAAAGGCAACGAGGAAGGCAGCUUUACCAUCCUCUGGUAUUUCAAUCAUAACUAGAGCUAUGCUUAUCGAAUUGAGGCGAACUUUAUAGCGUUUCGAAGCUAAAAUAUAGACCUACAUUUCUUGUGAAGACACUAACAUCCAGUUCUCACAUUUUCAUAGUAAAAAAUGGCCAGACAGAAGCCCAUCCUGCUUCACUCACUCAGCUGUGAAGCAAUUAACAACGCAGUUCAUAGUUUUUCCUCCCUAAUUUCUUUCAGUUUUGUUCAUUAAAUUCCACAUGCAAAGGUUGGUUAUCAAACUACAGAGUACCAUCAGCAUGAAUACAAGUUUAUAGCCAAGGGAAAUCAGAACAAUACUGGUUCAGCUCACGAUCUUCUUCCUUCUGCAUUUUUUUCCAGAAUUGUUGCAGCAAUCACUCAACACUAUUUUCUCUCCAAUAAUCACUUCAGUUCUUGCUCAAAUAUUCCAUGCAUGUUCAGACCAGCUAUUAUACAUCAUAUACUACAGUUUAACAUAGAGAUUCAAGGCCAUAAUUCAUGAGGACAGCUAGAAACCUCUUCAUUUCCUUCUCUCGGAUAGAGUUGGAAAAUUCCAGCAAGUUUUCUUCCUACGGUCCUCAUUAAAAUUUCCAACAAUGUUCCUGCUUUUAAUUCAUCUUUUCCUUGCUUUUAACCUCUCAAAGGUGAUAUGCAUGUUAAGAUAUGUGACCAGAAAAUGUAUGUGAGACAUGCAACAGAAGAUACAACUGGAAAAUUGCAGAUUAGCUCAUCAAGUAUCACAUAGCAGCUUCAAACUAACAUUUCCAACUUUGAUAACCUUUGUUUUCCAGAAAGUUUUCUUUUACUUGGUUCCAACUCAGUCUAAAAGACUACUAACUAAACGUGGAAGAACUGGAAGAGGAGGACAGUAGUUUACCUCUGGUUCUUAUGGCCUAAGUUAAGAAAAUAAAAUUCUGGUUUCACUCUCCCAUCCUUAACUCGAUAGACUGCAUUCCUUCUUUCUUUGUGGCUGGUUCUCACAGUUGAAAGAGGCCAGAAAUGAGUUCCUCUUUCCUUUAGAAUCCGGUAAUUGCAGGUUACUCUUAGCUUUCUGCUGCGGCUCCUCAAAGUUUCCGCUCCAAUCCUUCUUCUUCCUUACGUCACUUUCACUCUCGGUUAAAACUGUGGAUGAUGCAGCUAACAAGAUUUCUCUCCCUCUCACUCACUUUGGCUCACGGUUAUGAGGUUGCGAGCUGGAGAGAUAAAGCUAGCACUCUCUCCCUCACUCUCUCUCUCUCUCGGUUGCAAGCUGGACAAGAGGAACCAGAAAUAUUUCUCACUCGGUGGUGUUUUGGCAUGAAUGGUUAUGACCGAAACUCUCACUCUCGAUUUGGUUUCCAAUGCUUGGUUGGUAAGAAGAGCAUUUGAACAUAUUUCCUUCACUCCACCGACCACUCAAGCUUCUUCAUUCGGUGCUGAUCAAUCCAAUGUUCACCUCAUUCGGUCACUGCAUACUC
rnacentral:lncRNA from 1 species